rnacentral:rRNA from 1 species
AACGAACGCUGGCGGCAUGCCUAACACAUGCAAGUCGAACGAGACCUUCGGGUCUAGUGGCGCACGGGUGCGUAACGCGUGGGAACCUUCCCUUAGGUUCGGAAUACCUCCCCGAAAGGGGUGCUAAUACCGGUUAAUUUCUUCGGACCAAAGAUUUAUCGCCUUUGGAUGGGCCCGCGUUGGAUUAGCUAGUUGGUAGGGUAAAAGCCUACCAAGGCGACGAUCCAUAGCUGGUCUGAGAGGAUGAUCAGCCACACUGGGACUGGGACACGGCCCAGACGCCGACGGGAGGCAGCAGGGGGGAAUAAGGGACAAUGGGCGAAAGCCUGAUCCAGCAAGGCCGCGUGAGUGAUGAAGGGGUUAGGGAUGUAAAGCGCUUUUACCCGGGAUGAUAAUGACAGAACCGGGAGAAUAAGCUCGGGCUAAUUCCGU